CAUCUUAAGUCAACAGCUAGCAGUGAGCAGAAAACGAUGUAAGGCUUCCACGACAGCCAAAACAGUCUUCAAGUGGCUCUGUAAGGGAGCGGAGCAGCGCUGUGGUAACAGCGGGGAAGCGCUGACUGACUGAGCAGUGCUGUAACUGCGAUGCAGGGUGCCUCCUGUGAGGGUGCCCUGCGGCUGAUGGAAGUCUCGAGGUGUUGCUGAGGAGGCUGCCAUGGUGAGAGGGGCUGCAGGCUCGGCAAGCAGUGACAGUUCAGCCACUAAACUGGUCCCUAAGUCCUAUGAGGGCCGGGCGUUGCAGCAAAUCCCUGUGAGUGACAGCAGCCCAGACAUAGAGGCAGACUGCAUUACCUUAUAAAGCAGCUGGUGGACAGUAGUUUUGAGGACAGACCCACUGAGGAGAGCAGCCAGCAGUGAGAAAGAGUCACUUUCAUGGCAGGCUCUAUCAAUGCAAAAGACAUUGUCAGCAUCAGGAAAGUUGAGUAAAAAAGUUUCAUAUAUAUGUCUCGGUGAGAUGGAAUAAGACAUGCUUCAAGGCAAGCGUGAAAAAGGACAUUAAAGUGAAGCUGAGGAUGCAGUGCAAUCUAUACUGUAAUUGACAGGAGUUGAAACUUGAAACAAGGGAUGUAACUAAAGUUCAUUGUUCACAUCUGGCGAACACAGGCUCAUUUUAUCUUAAGCUGCUCAGUUACCAGUCAAUCUGUUCUUUAUUCUAAAACAAUCCAUAUGUAAUAAAAAAAAACAAGGACUCUCAAAUAUAUUCAAGCAAUUUUUUAUAUUUUAAUGCCUUGUAGACAUCCAGUGAGAA